CUUGCCUUAAUCACUAGCUUAUAAGGUUUCUAUUAACCUUGAUCACGCCCGGACCGAUGCCAUUUGCCCGACCCGCGGCACGAUCAAACAGAGCCCGAACGGACAGAGUUUCCCUAUCGCCAAGUAUAAUGUACAUUUUCAAUAAGAGUGCCACUAGCGGAAAAAACAUUUUUACCCAAACGGUUCACGGAGGUAAAGCAAUAGCCAUUAGUGAAAGAAAAAGAAAAACUAACAUUCCUUGUUACUAUGAUUCAUUUUGGAUACGCAUACAUUGCAUUCUCUAGUAAUUUAAGAAUUUCUUACAUUCAUUACAUCAUCUCUUUCUGACAUCAUUUGCUCAAAAUAAGCUUUCAUUCUCUUCUUUACAUUCACUUUAAUUCAAGUACAACAAGAUGAUAAAAGGGUGUCUACUACAAAAUGCUACCAACUUGGUUUGGCCUCUGUCUAAGGCGCGAUACCUUUACUCGUGUCGCUCGCCGGCUCGCUCGGUCCGGCUCUGUGGAAAUAGUGGGGUGAGAAACAACAAGUUCCCAGUGGGGUUCGCCCCCACAUCACGACUUUCCCAGCUGGGACGACUCAGGCACAUAGAAAGGAUUAAGUAGAAAUAUAGUAACCAAUCUAUAACAUGAUGCUAAUGGCUGAACAAAGCAAGGAAUAAUGCUCAACAUUAAAUUAAAUCAGGUUAUGAUGUUCGUUUGAGUUUCUUUGCAGCUUUACAUUUGUUUUUACUCUUUGUCUUUAAUCAUUAAGGGUCUAGCCGCGGUGCGUUUCGCACUUUAACUUGCUUCAAAUUUAGUCAUCAUCGCAGGAACUCGCACGUCAGCUAGGACCGGUCCUUACGGGUUUAACUCCACCCGGCAUGCAUAACAUCCGGAGCGCAUGCGCCCGAGGGGGAGCGACCACCCUUCUGAGCACGGAACUCCAUAGACAAGUAUGAUGAAUCCUUAACUCAAAGGAUUAUAAGUUCAAUUUGCUUUAACACUAGUCUAGUGUUCUUUACAUCCACUUGAUGUGCAAAUCAUGCAAUCACAUUCUUUACAUUUCCUUUACCCUUGCUAACUCUAGCAUUCAAAGUUGUUCUCAUUGCCACUUUACCUUAAACUUCUACUCGUUCUGUCCAUUUUCAUCAUUCUUUACAUCACUUUAGUCUUUACAUCCCUAACUCUGUGUAUUUGCACAUUAGUUUUAUCGAAUGUGACUCGAUCUAUGUCAUUUGUGUCACUCUGUGCUUUUGCUCACGUUUGGGUGCUCACAUUCCUCUCAUGCAUACAUCUAGGGGUUUGACAUAUUGUUCUCACCAUCUCAGUAUGCAAGUUUGAACUAACAUUAUGCAAUCAUACAACUUUUGAUCGUUACUUUCCCUAAAAUGCAUGCAAAAUGUAUAUAACAUAUGCCAAGGAGACACAUUAGCAUAAGAGAAUUUCAAUGAGUUUUGGAAAAGCACGCACCACGUCGUUAGGCGUACAGGUGCUCGAUAAUUUUUUGGGAUUUUUAGAAUCUUCGUUCAUUUACCUGCGGCAAAACGAACCUAUUAGGGCCAUUGCUGGCAUAAUCAUUGUACUUCUGGCUUUUGCGUAAUACGUUAAUCGAGCGCACCAAACGGCGGUCGGACAAUACCCCAAUUUAGGUUUUUGAAGGGUCAAUUUUCAUUUAGAAAUCCACCAUGAGCAAAGGCACCAAUUUGGUGCCCUAAUGCUCCAAUAACACUAUCAAACUUAGGGUUUGAUCUCAUUGGGAAGCAAAGUAGCUUCAUAUUAUAUCAAAUAAUCCAUUGUAGAACCAUUCUUAGGCUUUCCAAAACCCUAGUUUGGAUUGUUAACCCAUUAGAGGGUGGCCCUAAGAAACCUGAGGCUCAACAUGGGAUUUGAUCUCUAAAAGCAACAAAGAAAGCUUCAAAACUGAUAGACAUGUCCUUAAAAACCAUCCUAGGUUCUUCAAACUCACAUUUUAGGUUUUACUACAUUAGGCGUGAAGGCUCCCUACUCAAAGCUUUCUCACCUUUUUUCCCCAUUUAAGGCUAUGAGAUGGAAGGGAAGGAGUUCUUCCUUCUUCUUCUUCUCUCCACUUUCCUUCCUUUCUUUUCCUUUUUUUCUUCUUUCUUCUUCUUCUCUUUUUUUCUUGAGAAGAGAGGCAGAGAAGAAGUGUGAGAGGGGUGAAAAUGAGAGAAAAUUCUCAUUUCACCCGCCAUACUAUACUCAAUGGGCUGCUAAAAUGCAAAUAAACCCUCCUUUUACUUUAUUACACUGCCCGAAUUGGCAGUUGCCGCAGGCAGGAGACCCGGUCUCCCGAGCAGGACGCGGUUCCCGAAGUCGCACGCCUGCGCAGCCAGAGUCCUCCGCAGAGCAGCAGAAUCGCGGGCGCCCGAAUAGGAGCGCGAGCCGGUCUCCCUCCGAUGGGACUCGGUCUCUGGGGACCGGUUCUCUCAGGCAGAGACGCGUUCCCGGAGCCAUCUUCCAGGACUUAGCGAUUUUCGGGGCCGUAUCACUCUCGCACCGUUCGGGGACCGGUCUCUCCUUUCAGGGACCGGUCCCGAGAGCUGAAAAUCUGAUCUUGUACUUGCAGAAUUCAUUCUUUUAGCUCUCGAAACGCCCCGUAACAUCACUUUUAACCUUUUUAACACCUUCAGACUUCGCCGAAGUGUACGCGCCUGACUUUGGUCAUGUUGACUAAUAGUUCGAAUUUUAUCUUUUCGCAAUUUUCGGGUAUAUUAAAACCUAAUCAAGCUAACCACCCGACUCGGCCUCGAGUCAAUCAUCCGCGGAUAGUCCGCGCACUGGCUGCAUCUCAGCCUGGCUGCCGUCACAGCCUACCGCAAAUCUGACUUAACUAUCUGGUGGCGAACUCAUCGCAUUGAACCCAACAACAACUUAAGUCAUGACUUAGCCAUCUGGCGGCGAACUAAUCGCACCUCACCCAACAAUGGUUCAAGAUGUGACUUACUCAUCUGGCAGCGACCACAUCGCUCUUACCCAACAAGGUUCAAGUCAAUCUAGACGGCAUCAUCUGAUAAGCUAAUGGGCGAGGAGAACCACACAUACCAAAUUCCAGCUUAUUCUCAUGGCAUCCCGGGCGAGGAGAACCACACAUACCCGUUGAAUCACUGCCAGGCGAGGAGAACCACACAUACCUGCAGUUAGGAUUCGCUUGCCAUCUCUUUUACCACAAUUUUCACCGCUCCAUGUGCGGCCACAUCACUAGGGAUUCCGGAAUCCAUUUCAUAACUCAAGGGUUGGUUUCAAACCCUAUAGCAUUGACCUAUCUAGGUCCAACGUCCUUUUCACUCUAGGUCCAACUGACUCUAGGUUCAACGUCUCUAUCACAUAACCUAGGUUUACUUAACUCUAGGUUCAAUCCAUAACCUAUGUCCUUUAACACUAGGUUAGAUGCCACUCAUCAUUCAUCCUAGGUUCAACAACACUAGGUUCAUUGUCAUUCAUGUCCAACCUAUGUUUUUAUACACUAGGUUAGAUGCCACUCGAUCUAGUUCACAUGACUCUAGAUUCAUUCACAACCUAUGUUCUUUAACACUAGGUUAAGUGCCACUCGAUCUAUUUGACAUCCUAAUUGUCCAUGUCGAGUUCCAUAACUAUCCACAUUUUAUCUAGCAUGCAUUAUGUGAUGCCAACAUGCAUAAUCUUUCUCACAUGAUCUACAACAUGUUAAUAUGCAUGUAAUCUAGCAUAUUCUCAUCAUGUCAUCAUACAUGUAUUAACAAGCAUAUUUACAUUAUGUCAUUAACAUGCAUUCUUUACCAUAUGCUCACAUGCAUUAUUUAGCAUUUCUAUAAUAUGUUCAUCAUGCAUUCUAUGGUAGUCGUAGCAUAGCAAUUAACAUGCAUUCGCCUAGCAUUUAACUCUUGCAUUCAUCUACCAUUUAUAUGCAUCAAUAUGAAUUUACAUUUCUCUUAGACAUAAAGGGCGACCUAGUCGCUUCGGUAAGCACAACCCACCUUAACUUACUCUCCGAUUGCUUGUAGUCACUUGCAAUCGGCCGCCCGCGACACCCGCGACCCGGUUUGGCUCGAACUCUCGCGCAAUCACCCAAACGAUCUCCGAUUUGCGAUCCGAAAAUUAAAGGUCUUCGGUUAUGUGCCACGGUGCUUCAAAUCCGUUUUCAUGAUUUUACGACGUCGCCUCGGCCCUCCAGGCGGAAACGAAGCCUAAACGUCCGUUUCUUUAAUAACUUUGUAACGGCUCGUCGGAUUGCCGAUCCGUCUUCGCCAACGCGUUUCGUUACCUAGCAAUUAGGUUUAUAUAUGUUCAAUUUAGAUCAAACCCAUCUAUUAGCAAAAAUUGCAUUUUGGAGCCCUAGGUUGCAACUAUGCAAGAAAUCAUCAAAUCCCUUCACGAAUUAAGCAUCAAUCAUCUAGAUAGCAUGCUAGGAUUCCUCUAAAUCCAUUUCUAAGCUAUUUAAACCAACCAUUAAGGAUCUACCAUUAAAGGGUAGCAAAAGCUUACCUCAAAAUUAGCUCCAAAUCAUGGAGAAGAUGAAGAAGACGAAGGCAAUCCACCUCCAAGCUUCAAUCUCCACCAAAUCCAUCCAUUUUGGGAGAGAUUUAGAGAGAGAAAUGGAAGUUCUCUCUCUCCCUUCCAUGCAUGCGUGUGUGUGUGUGUGUCGCAUGCGGUUUGGGGCUGCUGCGGCUGAGGAAGGAGAAGAAGAAAAGGGAUUAAAUCCCUUUUUACCAUUUUGCCCCUCAACUAUACACUAUUCACUACGGGCAGCUUGAAAUCUGAUAAAUUUCGUUGGAGCCCUUCCGGAUGUCCGUUUUCGUUCAAAUUUGA
rnacentral:lncRNA from 1 species